rnacentral:rRNA from 1 species
GAUGAACGCUGGCGGCGUGCCUAAUACAUGCAAGUCGAGCGAACAGACGAGAAGCUUGCUCCUCUGACGUUAGCGGCGGACGGGUGAGUAACACGUGGAUAACCUACCUAUAAGACUGGGAUAACCUCGGGAAACCGGAGCUAAUACCGGAUAAUAUAUUGAACCGCAUGGUUCAAUAGUGAAAGACGGUUUUGCUGUCACUUAUAGAUGGAUCCGCGCCGCAUUAGCUAGUUGGUAAGGUAACGGCUUACCAAGGCAACGAUGCGUAGCCGACCUGAGAGGGUGAUCGGCCACACUGGAACUGAGACACGGUCCAGACUCCUACGGGAGGCAGCAGUAGGGAAUCUUCCGCAAUGGGCGAAAGCCUGACGGAGCAACGCCGCGUGAGUGAUGAAGGUCUUCGGAUCGUAAAACUCUGUUAUUAGGGAAGAACAAAUGUGUAAGUAACUAUGCACGUCUUGACGGUACCUAAUCAGAAAGCCACGGCUAACUACGUG